UACGUAGGGUGCGAGCGUUGUCCGGAAUUAUUGGGCGUAAAGAGCUCGUAGGCGGCCUGUCGCGUCGGAUGUGAAAGCCCGGGGCUUAACCCCGGGUCUGCAUUCGAUACGGGCAGGCUAGAGUGUGGUAGGGGAGAUCGGAAUUCCUGGUGUAGCGGUGAAAUGCGCAGAUAUCAGGAGGAACACCGGUGGCGAAGGCGGAUCUCUGGGCCAUUACUGACGCUGAGCUGCGAAAGCUAGGGGAGCAAACAGG
rnacentral:rRNA from 1 species